GCGCGAAACCUUUAACUAAUAGCACGAAAGUAGUGAUAAGGCAACUACCUUGUGCUUAUCCAAAAGAUAGGCUUUUUAGUUAUGUAAUGUAUACUAAGAAUAAGUGAUGGGCGAAGACCGGUGCCAGCAGCCGCGGUAAUACCGGCGUCACAAGUGGAGAUCACGAUUACUUGGGUCUAAAAGUGUUCGUAGCUGGUCAUAUAAGUCUCUUGUGAAAAGUU
rnacentral:rRNA from 1 species